UGCUCAUGUUGGGAGAAGAAUCCUACAAAGACAGCACACUUAUAAUGCAACUUUUGAGAGACAACCUCACCCUUUGGACUUCUGAUGUCCAGGACCAGCUAGAUGAGCCCUGAUUUCCCUUAUAGGUUGACGGGUCGUAUUCUUCCCUCUUGAAGGAGGUGGGCUAUGAAUGUCAUUUAUAUGUGUUGAUUAAGAAUCAUCCUAGUUUAUACAUUUACCGGUAAUCUGUGGUAUAGUGUCAUAUGGACCUGUCUUGUUUUUUUAUGUCUUGUAUGAUUUGGAUCUGUUGUCCUAAUGGGAGAUCAAAUUAAAUUAUAUUGUUGCAAUCA